ACGCUGGCGCAGGCUUAACACAUGCAAGUCGAGCGGGCGAGGUUGCUUCGGUAACUGAGCUAGCGGCGGACGGGUGAGUAAUGCUUAGGAAUCUGCCUAUUAGUGGGGGACAACAUUCCGAAAGGAAUGCUAAUACCGCAUACGUCCUACGGGAGAAAGCAGGGGAUCAUUUGACCUUGCGCUAAUAGAUGAGCCUAAGUCGGAUUAGCUAGUUGGUGGGGUAAAGGCCUACCAAGGCGACGAUCUGUAGCGGGUCUGAGAGGAUGAUCCGCCACACUGGGACUGAGACACGGCCCAGACUCCUACGGGAGGCAGCAGUGGGGAAUAUUGGACAAUGGGGGGAACCCUGAUCCAGCCAUGCCGCGUGUGUGAAGAAGGCCUUUUGGUUGUAAAGCACUUUAAGCGAGGAGGAGGCUCUCUUGGUUAAUGCCUAAGAAGAGUGGACGUUACUCGCAGAAUAAGCACCGGCUAACUCUGUGCCAGCAGCCGCGGUAAUACAGAGGGUGCGAGCGUUAAUCGGAUUUACUGGGCGUAAAGCGCGCGUAGGUGGCUAAUUAAGUCAAAUGUGAAAUCCCCGAGCUUAACUUGGGAAUUGCAUUCGAUACUGGUUGGCUAGAGUAUGGGAGAGGAUGGUAGAAUUCCAGGUGUAGCGGUGAAAUGCGUAGAGAUCUGGAGGAAUACCGAUGGCGAAGGCAGCCAUCUGGCCUAAUACUGACACUGAGGUGCGAAAGCAUGGGGAGCAAACAGGAUUAGAUACCCUGGUAGUCCAUGCCGUAAACGAUGUCUACUAGCCGUUGGGGGAUUUGAUCCUUUAGUGGCGCAGCUAACGCGAUAAGUAGACCGCCUGGGGAGUACGGUCGCAAGACUAAAACUCAAAUGAAUUGACG
rnacentral:rRNA from 1 species